UCCUCGGGACCUUUUAUAUACCUGCAAAACCGCUGCCUCUGUGAAUUAACGAAGACGCGGGUUGUACAAGGGCCCAGGAUGAUAUCCGUUCAUCCGUACGCCAGAACGACUCGUUGUUCUUCGUGUUUCAUUCGCUGUAUAACACCUUCUGCCCACACGAGUCUAUCUGAUGUAGAAGGAAAGUUGGAUAAGGAACAAUCGAUGAGUUGAAGGAAGGGUUUGGAUGGAGGACGUCAAGUUGCGGUAUAAGAGGACUUGUGUCAUCUUUGGGACUUUGAGUUGAUGAUCAGAUGAUUUUGAUGGCUUACGGCGAAACGGCUUAAUGACGGGGCAGUUUAUUUUAUGGGGGAGAUAACAUUGACUUGUUGUGGUGUGUGUGUAUAGGUUUGGGAUUAAGACCUUUGGGCCUGUGGUGCUUUAGGCCCCAGUUGGGGGGUCAAAGUUUUUUGAGGUGUAAUGGAAUAUGUUGUUUUUGUCGCACAGAAGUCUGGGAUCAGUUUUUGGGAUGAGGCAGUCCAGUUGGUGGGUUGAAGGGGGCGAAGAGCGAAGAUCUGCGGAGUAGGUUCAUCUUUGGAUUCUUUUACUUGUGGGAGAGUUGACUUCAGAAUUGAAAGUUUUCAAUGGAGUGGUAAAUGAAAUUUGAAAACAGAACAUGAGACUUCAAGUUUCACUUAAAAUUCAGCAAAUUGAGUGGGAUUAUUGUUAACAUGAAUCGUCAGGUCCUGGGUGCUGUGGCCCUUUAAUCUUUCUAGUUAGUUCCUGUAAGGAAACGAAUUGGAGCGGUUGUGCCUUUCGAGCGUAUAAAAUAAAAAAAAAAAUAAAUAAAUAUAGAAUAAAAAAAAUAAGUUAAAUGAUGCUAAAUGUGUGAAUAAAUAACAUUCACACGUUUAGAAUCAUUAGAACUAUCCCAUUUCUAAUAAACCCUAUUGGGAUAUGGGUAAAAGUAUAUAAAUAAAUGUAGCAACACAGUCAAUUACUUCAACUCACUAGAACUCUUCAUUACUGGCACGAGGACGGCACGACUGACCUAGAGGACCGGUGUCCAGAGACUGAAUUCUUACUAUUUGAAAACCCUUUAUUAAGGGAAAAAACAAGAGAACGUUUAGGACUCCAGAGGACAGAGUUUCCCUUGAAUUCCACAUGUGUUUCAGCGGCGGAUUAUUCGACAAAGGGAUUGAGGACAGCAAAUAAGUCAGUGUGGACAUGACGCAGGGUUUAUCGAGGGAAAAAGACAUGUCAAUAAAAAUAAAAGUGAGUUUGAAAUUUUUGCAGUUGAAAAUUAAUGUCUCGGGGAUAAUCGCAUGUUUGUCCACCCUCGCAGGAAAGAUUUUCUUCGACCGGUGAUCGAUAUAUGGACGAUUUCGAUCGUGGGUUCAAUUGCUGGUUGUUUAUCCCCCGGGUUUUAUAGGAUAAUAGCACCUGGCGUGGACACGCGUCGGUGGGAUAUUAUCGAUUGCUGUUUAUCAUUGAGUUGAUGGUGUA